rnacentral:rRNA from 1 species
AUUGAACGCUGGCGGCAGGCCUAACACAUGCAAGUCGAGCGGGGUUUUCAGACCUAGCGGCGGACGGGUGAGUAAUGCGUAGGAAGCUACCCGAUAGAGGGGGAUACCAGUUGGAAACGACUGUUAAUACCGCAUAAUGUCUACGGACCAAAGUGUGGGACCUUCGGGCCACAUGCUAUCGGAUGCGCCUACGUGGGAUUAGCUAGUUGGUGAGGUAAUGGCUCACCAAGGCGACGAUCUCUAGCUGGUUUGAGAGGAUGAUCAGCCACACUGGAACUGAGACACGGUCCAGACUCCUACGGGAGGCAGCAGUGGGGAAUAUUGGACAAUGGGCGCAAGCCUGAUCCAGCCAUGCCGCGUGUGUGAAGAAGGCCUCGGUUGUAAAGCGACUUCUAGCGAG